UCUUCUGUAGCUCAGUGGUAGAGCGUCCGAACGGUGUGCGGAAAGUCACAUAGGUUCGACUCUUGUUGGAAGAA